UUGCGUUAUGAUUAAAAGAUAUAAGUAACUUUUUUAUAAAAACAAUGCUUAUAUUUAAAGGAUGUAUAUGGAAAAUAUUGAAGUAAGA
rnacentral:sRNA from 1 species